AAACUUACCUGGCUGGCGCUCGGGGCGGCUCAAGAAUCGCCCUGUCGUGAUUCGGAGCAGGGCACUGCACUCAGCCGUCUGUAAUGAAUCAUGGGCUUUCCUGUAAAGUGCCGACAGCACAAUUUUUUUACGAGGCGAUUAGUCGCCA
rnacentral:snRNA from 1 species